rnacentral:rRNA from 1 species
AAUAUUGCACAAUGGGCGAAAGCCUGAUGCAGCAACGCCGCGUGAGCGAAGAAGGCCUUUGGGUCGUAAAGCUCUGUCGGGUAGGAAGAUAAUGACGGUACUACCCGAGGAAGCCCCGGCUAACUACGUGCCAGCAGCCGCGGUAAUACGUAGGGGGCAAGCGUUGUCCGGAAUUAUUGGGCGUAAAGGGUGCGUAGGCGGCCUUUUAAGUCAGGUGUGAAAGCCCACGGCUUAACCGUGGGAUUGCAUUUGAACCUGGAAGGCUUGAGUAUCGGAGAGGGUAGUGGAAUUCCCAGUGUAGCGGUGGAAUGCGUAGAUAUUGGGAGGAACACCAGUGGCGAAGGCGACUACCUGGACGAAAACUGACGCUGAGGCACGAAAGCUAGGGGAGCAAAC